rnacentral:lncRNA from 1 species
UUUCAAAGAAAGCCUACAUUUUUUCACUUUUAUUCUGAGUGAAGUUGUUUUUAAUCCCUGCAACUUUUUUUUUUCUUUUUAAUUGUAAGUAAGUCUUUCAAAAAUUCAAGUCAGGUUUUUCAAAAACUUUUAUGAAGCUCAAGGAUUGAACACAAGCUUGUUGUCAUUUCCCUCCUUCUGAAUCUUUUUAAGAGGACACCUAAGUAACUGCUCUAAUACUUCUUGAAGGUGGAGUAUCAAGAUCCAAUUCUCAACAAGUGAAAAUUUAGCCUUAAAGCUAAAUGUUCUUUUCCUCCAUUGUAUCUGUUUAUAUGCGUCUUUUUGAAGAAAAAGAUCCUUAUUUGAUACAGCUACAGCUUCUAAAGAACCAACAUAUGUAAGAACUUCUUAGAAGAAAACUGAAGUCACAAGAAAAACCAAAAAUCACAAAAUUCUGAAGAAGAGACAUUGAAGGUUUAAGACUGACUGUAGUUUUUGUGCAGAGUGCUUAUGUGUUAUUGUGCCAGUAUUGCAAGUUUUAUAUAGGAGAAAUAUUUGCUUAUUGAAGCUUUAAAAAAAAAAAAGCCUUUGUUAAGUUUAACAGUUUCCUUAACUUUCGUGUUUUUUCCAUCUUAACACAUAUCAUGGACUUAACCCCUCCCCUUCAUCUUUAGUUCAAGGAACAUGGUGAAACAAGUAUCUUCUGACAGUGCUUUACCUUAUUUUCUGGGCCU